rnacentral:rRNA from 1 species
CAACUUUCAACAACGGAUCUCUUGGCUCUCGCAUCGAUGAAGAACGCAGCGAAAUGCGAUACGUAAUGUGAAUUGCAGAAUUCAGUGAAUCAUCGAAUCUUUGAACGCACCUUGCGCCCCUUGGUAUUCCGAGGGGCAUGCCCGUUUG